rnacentral:siRNA from 1 species
GGGUUCAGGUCGGGCUGAGCUUUU